rnacentral:tRNA from 1 species
GCUGUUGUACCUCAGUGGUGGAGCGCCUAAUUCAUAAUCAGAAGGUAGGUGGUUCGAUCCCACCCAGUAGCA